rnacentral:rRNA from 1 species
UGCAAUUCAAUAUAAAUUGAUUUAAUAUUUAUUUAUUAAUUUUUUUUUUUAUAUUUAUAAUUUAUUAAAAAUAAUUAUAUAUUUAAUGUUUUAGUAAUUUUUAAUGAAAAAAUAAAUUUUAUAAUAGUUAAGUAUGUAUUGUGAAAGAAUAUUGAAAUAUAUUGAAAAAUUAUUAUGUUAAAAGAAAAUUUUUUUUAUUGUACCUUGUGUAUCAGGGUUUAUUAAAUAAUUAAUAAAUAUUUAUUAACUCGAUUUUAUAAGAGUUAAUGAUUUAUGAUAGUUAAUGUAUUAUAAUUAUUGUUAAUAAAUUAUUAGAAAUGAAAUGUUAUUCGUUUAUAAAGGUAUCUAGUUUUUUUAGAAAUAAAUAGAAUUUAUGAAUUUUUAAUUUUUUAUUUAUUUUUAUAAAUAAAAAAAUUAUUAAUUUUAAUAUUUUAAGGGAUAAGCUUUAAAAUAAAUAAUUAAAAAUUAAUGAUUUAUUUAUAUAAAAUGUAUGUAUAGAAUUAGCAAUCAUUUAUAAGUUUGUUAUAAAUUAUUUUAUAAAUUUUAUAUUAUUUAUUAAUAUUUUAAUUUUUUAUGAAAAAAUUUUUUAAAAUAAUAUAUGAAAAGUUAUAAUGAUAAAAUUAGUAUAUUAAUUAUUGUUUAUAUAAUUUUAUUUGACAAGUUUAUAUAAAGAAUUCGGCAAAUACUAUACUCGCCUGUUUAACAAAAACAUGUCUUUUUGAGUUAAUUUUAAAGUCUAACCUGCCCACUGAAGAUAUUUAAAUGGCCGCAGUAUUUUAACUGUGCAAAGGUAGCAUAAUCAAUAGUCUUUUAAUUGAAGGCUGGAAUGAAUGGUUGGACGAAGUAUAANCUGUUUCAUAUAAAUUUAUAAUAGAAUUUUAUAUUUUAGUUAAAAAGCUAAAAUUUUAUUAAAAGACGAGAAGACCCUAUAAAUCUUUAUAUUUAAUAGUAAUUAGGUUUUAUAGAUAUAUUUUAUUUUUUUAUUAUUAAAUAUUUUGUUGGGGUGAUAUUAAAAUUUAAUUAACUUUUAAUUUUUUUUUAUCAUUAAUUUAUGAUUUAUUGAUCCAUUAAUAGUGAUUAUAAGAUUAAGUUACUUUAGGGAUAACAGCGUAAUUUUUUUGGGGAGUUCAUAUCUAUAAAAAAGUUUGCGACCUCGAUGUUGGAUUAAGAGAUAUAUUUUGGUGUAGCUGCUUAAAUAUUAAGUCUGUUCGACUUUUAAA